rnacentral:rRNA from 1 species
AGAGUUUGAUCCUGGCUCAGAAUCAACGCUGGCGGCGUGCCUAACACAUGCAAGUCGAACGGGAAGGGGGGCUUCGGCUCCCCGGAGAGUGGCGCACGGGUGAGUAACACGUGGGUAAUCUGCCUUUGGGUGGGGAAUAACGAUCCGAAAGGGUCGCUAAUACCGCAUAACGCAGCGGCACCGCAUGGUGACAGUUGUUAAAGCGGGGGAUCGCAAGACCUCGCGCCUGAAGAGGAGCCCGCGUCCGAUUAGCUAGUUGGUGAGGUAACGGCUCACCAAGGCUUCGAUCGGUAGCCGGCCUGAGAGGGCGGUCGGCCACACUGGCACUGAGACACGGGCCAGACUCCUACGGGAGGCAGCAGUGGGGAAUUUUGGGCAAUGGGCGCAAGCCUGACCCAGCAACGCCGCGUGAAGGACGAAAUCCCUCUGGGAUGUAAACUUCGAAAGUCAGGAAAGAAAUCCGCGUGGAUAAUACCCGUGCGGGAUGACGGUACCUGACGUAAGCCCCGGCUAACUACGUGCCAGCAGCCGCGGUAAUACGUAGGGGGCAAGCGUUGUUCGGAAUUACUGGGCGUAAAGGGCGCGUAGGCGGCACGGCAAGUCGGGAGUGAAAGGCCUGGGCUCAACCGAGGAACUGCUUUCGAGACUGCCGAGCUAGAGUGCGGAAGGGGCAACUGGAAUUCCCAGUGUAGCGGUGAAAUGCGUAGAUAUUGGGAAGAACACCUGAGGCGAAGGCGGGUUGCUGGGCCGACACUGACGCUGAGGCGCGAAAGCCAGGGGAGCAAACGGGAUUAGAUACC